ensembl:miRNA
CAAAUAUUAGGUUGGUGCAAAAGUAAUUGUGGUUUUUACCAUUAUGUUUAUGGCAAAAAUCACAAUUACUUUUGCACCAACUUA